GACGAACGCUGUCGGCGUGCUUAACACAUGCAAGUCGAACGGAAAGGCCCUGCUUUUGUGGGGUGCUCGAGUGGCGAACGGGUGAGUAACACGUGAGUAACCUGCCCUUGACUUUGGGAUAACUUCAGGAAACUGGGGCUAAUACCGGAUAGGAGCUCCUGCUGCAUGGUGGGGGUUGGAAAGUUUCGGCGGUUGGGGAUGGACUCGCGGCUUAUCAGCUUGUUGGUGGGGUAGUGGCUUACCAAGGCUUUGACGGGUAGCCGGCCUGAGAGGGUGACCGGCCACAUUGGGACUGAGAUACGGCCCAGACUCCUACGGGAGGCAGCAGUGGGGAAUAUUGCACAAUGGGCGGAAGCCUGAUGCAGCAACGCCGCGUGCGGGAUGACGGCCUUCGGGUUGUAAACCGCUUUCGCCUGUGACGAAGCGUGAGUGACGGUAAUGGGUAAAGAAGCACCGGCUAACUACGUGCCAGCAGCCGCGGUGAUACGUAGGGUGCGAGCGUUGUCCGGAUUUAUUGGGCGUAAAGGGCUCGUAGGUGGUUGAUCGCGUCGGAAGUGUAAUCUUGGGGCUUAACCCUGAGCGUGCUUUCGAUACGGGUUGACUUGAGGAAGGUAGGGGAGAAUGGAAUUCCUGGUGGAGCGGUGGAAUGCGCAGAUAUCAGGAGGAACACCAGUGGCGAAGGCGGUUCUCUGGGCCUUUCCUGACGCUGAGGAGCGAAAGCGUGGGGAGCGAACAGGCUUAGAUACCCUGGUAGUCCACGCUGUAAACGGUGGGUACUAGGUGUGGGGUCCACUCCACGGGUUCCGUGCCGUAGCUAACGCUUUAAGUACCCCGCCUGGGGAGUACGGCCGCAAGGCUAAAACUCAAAGGAAUUGACGGGGCCCCGCACAAGCGGCGGAGCAUGCGGAUUAAUUCGAUGCAACGCGUAGAACCUUACCCGGGUUUGACAUGGAUCGGGAGUGCUCAGAGAUGGGUGUGCCUCUUUUGGGGUCGGUUCACAGGUGGUGCAUGGCUGUCGUCAGCUCGUGUCGUGAGAUGUUGGGUUAAGUCCCGCAACGAGCGCAACCCUUGUUCACUGUUGCCAGCACGUUAUGGUGGGGACUCAGUGGAGACCGCCGGGGUCAACUCGGAGGAAGGUGGGGAUGACGUCAAGUCAUCAUGCCCCUUAUGUCCAGGGCUUCACGCAUGCUACAAUGGCUGGUACAGAGAGUGGCGAGCCUGUGAGGGUGAGCGAAUCUCGGAAAGCCGGUCUCAGUUCGGAUUGGGGUCUGCAACUCGACCUCAUGAAGUCGGAGUCGCUAGUAAUCGCAGAUCAGCAACGCUGCGGUGAAUACGUUCCCGGGGCU
rnacentral:rRNA from 1 species